CGCCCGGGGCUGGCACCUGCGGGGCUCUGCCAGGCCAGAGCUGCUCACAGGGUUUAGGUGCUGAUGUGUCACAGAACCCAGCUCCAGAACUACAAGAAUUGUCUUUCAGAGGUGCUGAGAAUCAACAGAUUAUCAGGAAAAUACACAGCUGUCCUAACGAAUUUUGGGAACAGGAGAUUGUCACUGCAUUUGCAGAAAUGUACAGGAGCAGUUUGAGGCUCUUUUACCAAAGGACUAAAAUAAGGAAUUUCCAUGGUGUGAAGGAUUUCCCUGUGGGCGCAGACUGGGCAUGAAAGGCCCUCUGGAGAACUACACAGCAGUGAGCAGUUACAUGAGCUUGCAUAAGUACUUGCAGCCAGUUCCCAUGCCCAUAUCCUGAAGGAAAUGAGCAGCGUCUAGGGUGGAAGAAAAGACUUCCUGCUGCCUCAAGUGGAAACCUCCUUCAGAAGAACAGGUUAGCUGAGGGUGGCAGCUUUUGACUGUACCACAGCAGUGCUCAUCUGGCAGAGUCAACUCAUGGUGUAUGACAGCUGUGUGUAAACAGCAAUUAGACAAAAAAAAAAAAAUUAAAAAAAUUAGGGACUUCAGUGGCAAAAUAAACAAAAAUGCACCUGUAUGGUAAUAAGAGAAAGGCAAAAUGCAUUAAGGUCCAAACAAGAUACACAUGGUGAGUAAAAUGACAUCUUCCUUUUCCAGCAGAUAUUUUUGUUGUCAUAUGCAUGAGGGCCAAGUGCCACCAUGCCAGUGGUACUCAGGCCUUUGGUUAGCUCUAAAGACAAGAAAAUUACUCUUGGAAUGAAUGUGGCCUCCACUGGAUCUACCGCCUGCCAUUAGAGAAAAGAGCUACCAGCAACUUUCAACAUUUGGAGUGGCAUCCAGGCAUGCCAGCCCUAACUAACUGUUCUUACCCUGUAGACCUACUGGAGACAUGUUUGGACAUCUAAUUAUCUAAUUAAUUAUUCACCUAAGGCCUGACCAUAAGCAAAACACAUUUGUCCAGCAAACUGUGCAAUCGCUCUGGGAACUGCUGAGCUCCUGCCUUUUUGUUGUGCUGUUGAAAAUCAAAUUAUAUAGUUUGAGCAACAGAACUGUAAUUAGGGUCAGUAGAAAACUGUGGGUAGGAUAAUAUUGUGGAUUCUGCAAUUUUUUGUCAUGUUGCUCCAUAAUAUGCCAGAAACCAGUGGUUUUAUUGCUCGACAGUGCAUUAACACUGUCCGUGACACAUCCUCUGCUUCCUGCUGUGGAACUGGCCCUUCUGUGAGCCUGUUGCCAAGGCUGGCCUCAAUUUACAAUAUAAAUUCACAGCUCCUCCUGGAAUUGAUGGCAAAGCUCUUGUUAACUCCUCUAGGAGCUGGACAGGUCUAGGCAUGGAAAAUAGGGAUGGAUAAGGAAGAUGGUGGAGCAGAGCUGAGGAGAAAAGAAAGCAGGCUAUGUUGUUUCAUUAUAAUCUCCUCAGUUAUCACUGGCUGUCAUACUGAUACCACCAGGAGGCUUUUUCGUGGAUUAAAAUUGCGUUAUAACUAAAAGUUAAUCAGUUCUUGUUUUCCUGUUCUCCAUCACACUCAGAAAAUCUCUGCUCUAGGCUAUUGCUGCUUCUGCCUCUGGGCUCUCAAGAUCCUCCUUUUUCUCCUUGGAUUUUCUUUUCCUAACCCCUCAUCUUUCCUGCACAUCUUUAUUCCAGCUGUUUCCAGAUCUCUCCUCUUGGGGGGCUCCAUUCUCUCUACUUGCACCAUUCCAACCCCCAAAAUAAUCAGCUGUGGGCAGGCUAACAACUGACUGUGAUGUGUCAUUGCUGGCCCUUUCAGCCAGGAGAAUACACCUCUUGAGAUCAUUCUUUCAGGAUGUCAGCAAAUUCAGGCAAACGUUACAAGACUGAUAUCAUAAUUGGAAGGCUGCCUAGGAUCAGUUUUUAUAGGGGAAAAAAAAAAUUAACUCUUGUGACUGUCAUGGUGGUCUGAAGACGUAAUAGAGGUUUAAAUAAUUAUUAAGAUAAUUGAUUAAUUAAUUAAGAUCCAAGCUUCAUUUCUUGUUACAAGAGAGAGAAAUAAAAAUUAAGAAGGAAAAAAAAGAGCUAAUUGUGGAAAAGAAGCACAGAAACAGAAGAGGUGGAAAGAAAAAGAGUGAUGAAGAAAUAUAGAAUGCUUUCAAUUUUGUUGAAAAAGUGUGAAAAAAAAAUAGAAAUAAAAGCCCAAGAAGCAAAGAAAAAAUAAGAAGAGGAAGAGUAGGAAGAACAGCAAGAUAAGCUGGGGGUUGGUUGAAUUCUAUUUGAGCACUGUGGUGAAAAGUUCCAGCUAUGGAAUUAUAGUCCAGAUUCUUCAAAUUGUGAAGAGACUGGAUCUCUGACUUAGGGACUAUCACUACUCAAACACUUCCCAAGAACUUAAAGGCUGAGGUAACUGUGGAGCACCAGAGGACUUGGAGGAAUCUCUGCACUAGGUGUAAGAAAUAGACUGGAUAAAAAUGGAAUUGCUCAGGGCAGAUGAGAAAUGGUUGAGCUCUGAUUGUUGCAUUCCUGUAUUUCCUGCUUUCUGAAGGCAGUGACAUUACAAGUUCCCUUCACACUACUUUAUGUGUGUAUAUAUAUAUACACAAACACAUGCAUAUCAAAGAAUUUCUUAGCUUUUUAAGGAAAGAAAGUUGAUUUCCUUUCACGUUACUAUAUUCAGUUCCAUUUGUUUUAUUGGAAGGAAUUCCAGAUCCACAGAUUGAAGCAGAGGUUCACAGACAACUCUCACUGUGCAGCAGUGUAUCAUCCCUGUGCAGGUUGCAAGGAGAAAAGGUGUCUAUUAUUUUUAGUAGAUCUCAGUAGGAAAAAUUGAAAAAUGUGCAAGUCAGAAAUUUUGGGUUCUAUUCCAGAUUCUGAGAGGAACCCAUCUAGACACAGUGUCAGCUCUUAACACAACUCUGAAGUGUUCAACUCCUAGUUACUCUAGCUUUUCCUUCUUACACUCCUGAUUUAGCACUUUCAGCUUUACAUCUCCUUGUCUCCAUCCUUGUUUCUCAGUCUCCUUUCAGCUUCAGGUUUUAGUCCCCACCAUUGCCAUAUUCCAGCUGCCAGGAGCUCCUUCUUCUACUCCUCAUCCUAGGCUCCCUUGCUUCCAAGCUCUGUGAUAUUUCAGGUACCCCAAAUAUCUUGUCACAGGGCUGCUUCCCUUGCAUUUUCACCCUGCUCUCUGUCACAGCACACAAGUUUAAUCCAAGCCUGCCCAUUCUUUACUGAAUGACUGAAAAGAAAUUGUCAGAGGUUUGGUCAAAAUGAGAGGCUUGUGAAAGGAAUAGCAAAAGUUGCCUCCUUGAUAUCAGCAUUUGUUAUCCGUCCCUCCUUCAGGGAGGAUGUGAAUGUUUUUAAGGCAAAAAAAAAGUAUCCUUCAUUUUUCCUUGGGUUACUUGGGCUAGAAUUAUCCCAGAGUACUGAGAUGAGAUGAACAUCUACAAAAGUGUAACUUUUAGCUGUCAUCGUUAGUACUUGCUAAAGUUGGAAUACUGUAAUUCAGUAAGAAAACAGUGAAUUAAAUGGAGAGUGCAAAAACUUCAGCUACAGGAAACCUUAUCUUUAUUAUCCAUAAUGUAACAACCUCCUUUACAAAGUGGCUACAUCUGCUUUGAAAAUUGCAACCGAAGACCUCAGUUCACAUUAAACACGUUUACAGGCUCUCAGACUUCCUAGGAUGGGGAAAUUAUCACCAUGAAGGCAGAAAUAGAGACAUAGAGGCAUGGCAUGGUGUUUUCAGAGUGCCACGGGGGGCAGGAGGGAGAAACAGAUCUCACAUUACCUUCAAUUCCUGUUGUAACCUAAAUAUCGUAAUUAUCUCCCCACGGUGUCAGUGGAUUCAAGGAAUUCACAGUGACUGAGGCAUAGGGAGUGCACUCCAGGUGUGCCAGAGAAGGCAGCAAUCAGUGAGAUGGUCUUAUGCUGUAUGCCAGAGAAACACAAGCACUCCUUUUCCCAAAAAAGUUCAUUAUCUAGGAAGCUGUUUGCUGUUGUAUCACUUAUGCCAACAGUUAAUUCACGACAGGGCCUAAGCUACUCAAAAAUCCUUAUGACUUGCAGGAUCAUGGCUUGAGAAAUGAUGUUAUAGCAUUAAAGUUUUUUGCUGACUCCACCAUGCCAGCUUAUUUAUCAUAUAGCACAUGACCACGGCUGUCACUGAUUUACAUAUGAAACAUGAGAGGUUUUUCUCCUUAGAUCCUGAUGUCCCAAGGCUAUGCAUGUGUACUUAAACCAUAUGUAAAAGAGAGGAGCUCUGUUUUCCUAGUGUGAGGAGGAAAUUGUUCUACAGUGAGACAUACGUCAUCCCUUUGCCUUUGUUCCCAAACAUGGUAAAGAGCAAUAAAGCUGUUUGUGGACUAUAAUGUGACGUCGAAUAAGAACACGGAGUUCCCAUUUUUUUAUGCUUUAUGUAUAUAACAAUGUCAGUGUGGGCAUCCAGAGAAUGAAUGGUUAUGAAAUACUGCACAGCAGCAAUGUAUAAAAGGUAAAUGACACACAGCAAAGGAAUCUCCCUUCAAAUCACAUAGCACAUGAAACCAUUUUGGUCUGUGACAACUACAUCACUAGAUUUUUUCCAUGUUUAUCCAAAGUAGCUUAGUAAGCAUAACAUGCAUGCCAUUCACUAAGUCUGUGCACCAAAAUACAGAGUAUGAUGACCCCAAGCAAUGUCUCCAGUGCUUGUAAGAUUGCCAGAAAGGGGGACUGGCUGCCUGCUACCUCUGUUAAGUAUCUAUUUCAAUUAAUUCUUGUGAGAGAAGUGACAAAAAUAGUUCUCACUCUACUACAGCUAUUCAGCUGUUAUUUCGGUGGAAUUACACCUGUGUAAAUUUCUUAGAGGUAGGAGUUGUGCACAUGUUCUGUGAGCUAAUGAGGCUUCAGAAAUGAUUGUCAAGAAUGGCACAAGACAUAUCUAUUAUUUUUGAUUCAGAACGAACCCAUUUAUCUUUUCUCUUUGCUAAAAAGGGCAAUUUCAGGGUUUUUCUGGUGACUGAAAGAAAAAAGUAAUGCUAGAUGCAGGCUUCCUUCUGUCCCAUAUGUCUUAAGUGUACAAAGCUUUUUUUAGAGAAUAGCUUUCUUUCAGGGCAAACCAGUUCUUACUAAAAAUAAUUCUUAUGAGAUCAGAUAAAAUGAGAGGAAUGUUGUUGGCAGAUCCUGAUGCCUUAUUUACUAAAAAAAAAAAAAAAAAAAAAAGGGCUAAAUCAGCCUAAUCCAGGCCUGUAAUACAAGGAGAGAGCUGAAGAACCUUCCCUGUUCUCCAGGACUGUGGUUGACAGCUCGAGAGCUAUUUUGGUGGCUGUGGUCAGAGGAUGCAAAGUCCCUGGACAGUCAUCUCCACCAGUCUGCCUUAAUCCUUGGGAAUGCCCCAUGGAGUCACAAAUGGCCACAUGCUGGGGCUUUUGGAAAGGCACAAGGACAAGCUCCAUGCUCAGCUGGGGGCCUGCAAACACGAAGCACAGCAGCAUCUCUCAGAUUGGUCACACCUUCUAGAUAUGCAUCUGUUUAAUGAUAAACAUUCAGGUCUAGCAGUGACAGAGCUCGAAAUACAGCAAGGACUGGCUACCUGGUGAUUCUCCCUCCAGCAGGUCUUGAGAUCACACGCAGUGUGAAAGUCAAACUUAGAUGACUUUUUGGUGUUAGUGUGCUCUUGGCUUUAAACUUCACAGUUCUGUCUCCUCUUCCUUCAUACCAACAUCAUCUCUCAAGCCUUUAGUAUUGAGCAGUGCCAGACCCCUGCUAAUUUCUGGUGUUGUGUAUAAUUUUCCAUAUUUUUAGCCCAUUUUUGAGGUAGACAGCAAGCCCCUGAGGCAGGGACUUGCGUCAUCUAUUAAAAAAAAACCUCAGUAAUUAUUUAUGAUUCGUUUGUUGCAGCAUUUGCGUACAUUAUUUAAUAACAGAUAUGGACCGCAAGUGUUGAGCAGACAAAAAGAUUUAUGUUGUCAGGCAGACAGAAAGUGAUUUUAAAGACUUCACAUGUUGUCAAAUACCUAACAUGUGUGGAUAAGUGUGGAUUACUGCACGUCUAAAUUCAAAUCAAGCCAAAGCAAACCAGUUGCCUUUUCAUUGCGUAAAUAUUUGUUCACACAAAGCAUUGUGAAUUGGUUAUCUACAGUUACUUGAACUGCAUCAAACAAGCUGACAUGGAACUGCUUGGCCUCGUUUUACAUCUACCUAUCUUUACUCUUUGUUUAAAAGCAAAAUUGAAAGGUCUGAGAUGGGUUGGGGUCUUUUUUCUUCAAAUAAAGCAUUUCCUUAUAAAGAA